UACGGAGGGUGCAAGCGUUAUCCGGAUUCACUGGGUUUAAAGGGUGCGUAGGAGGGCAGGUAAGUCAGUGGUGAAAUCUCCAAGCUUAACUUGGAAACUGCCGUUGAUACUAUCUGUCUUGAAUAUUGUGGAGGUGAGCGGAAUAUGUCAUGUAGCGGUGAAAUGACUUAGAUAUGACAUAGAACACCAAUUGCGAAGGCAGCUCACUACACAAUCAUUGACUCUGAGGCACGAAAGCGUGGGGAUCAAACAGG
rnacentral:rRNA from 1 species